CCUACGGGCGGCUGCAGUGAGGAAUAUUGGUCAAUGGCCGUAAGGCUGAACCAGCCAAGUCGCGUGAGGGAAGACUGCCCUAUGGGUUGUAAACCUCUUUUAUGCGGGGAUCAAGGUGUCCACGUGUGGAUGUUUGCAGGUACCGCAUGAAUAAGGACCGGCUAAUUCCGUGCCAGCAGCCGCGGUAAUACGGAAGGUCCGGGCGUUAUCCGGAUUUAUUGGGUUUAAAGGGAGCGGAGGGCGGUCUUUAAGAGUGCCGUGAAAUUUUGGGGCUCAACCAUGAGAGUGCGGCGCGAACUGGAGAUCUUGAGUGCGCGGAAGGCAGGCGGAAUUCGUGGUGUAGCGGGGAAAUGCUUAGAUAUCACGAAGAACCCCGAUUGCGAAGGCAGCCUGCCGCAGCGUUACUGACGCUGAAGCUCGAAAGCGCGGGUAUCGAACAGGAUUAGAUACCCGUGUAGU
rnacentral:rRNA from 1 species